UUACACUUAAACAAACUCGUUCUUUGAAUUAAAUCUUACAUACUAAUUACAUUCACAAUACCAGUCAAUAAUAACGUACUAAACAUCAUAAAUUAUUCUUUGUCUAAUCUCGACUUCAUGACUAUACUUAGUCAAUUAUUACACUUAGUGUAAAAUUAAGACUUCACGAAAAAUUAAACUAAUUAUGCAUUCGAUCAUUCAAUCCAC
rnacentral:lncRNA from 1 species